CUAACAUCAUUUGUUUCUUGUGAGAGGAAAACUGAGUUAAGUACAUCUACUGUAAGCUUGCCAGAGUGUGGGAUCCUGAGGGGAGGCCUGGGGCAGACAAUUCACAGUUACAUUGGGUCUUGGGUGUGCUGGGCUCCUUGAGAUGGAAACAAACUACUGGACAUUAAUACCAGCUAGAAGGUGGCUGGACUGGUGUCCAAGGUCCACAAGGGGGUUCUGUACAUACAAACACAUGACAUAGUCCAUAAACAAAUAUGGACAUGUAAAUAUAAGUAACUCACAGGUAUAUAACAUAAAAAGCAAAUAUAUGUAUGUAUCCAGACAAACGGAUCUAUAAACAGAGAUCAGCACUAACAAGAAUCCAAUAGAUACCCAGCCACCCCUUUGCAGGAAACAUGCCCCUACACAGACAUAAACAUACAUACACCCACACACAAGUUCACAAGUAUACAGACACAGACACAUGCAAUCAUACUCAUGCAAACUCAGAUACGCAUAGACACACUCACCAGACUUCCCUGCCUUUCAGCUCUGAGGCCCAGAUACCUCCCUCCCCAGUAUCAGUGUAUGCAAUGUGUGCACACACACCUUUGUUUAUGUAUCUGUGUAUCUGUGUCUUUGAGAGAGAGAGAGUGUGUGUGUGUGUUUCUGUGUAUGUGUAUGAGGGGGUUGAUAAGCAGAGGGAACUCGAUGACAUCAUCUCUUCUAGCUAUUUUUAGCUCCAUCUGCAAUGACUUCUCCUCCAUUACCCCUCCUCCUCCAGGUUCCCAAUUCUCUCCCUCCAGGCUCUCAGAGAUAGCAACAGCCAGAGAGUACCCACUCCUUAGUUUAGGUGGCCUGCUGCAUGAUUGGGUGCAAUUCACAGACUCUCACCCAACCAGAGUUCUUUGGAGGCUGAGGACGGGGCUGAUCUCCAGACUGGAGGAGGGGGCUUGAGCUGUGGGGUAACCAGAGCAGGUACCUGGGUUAGACCUGGCUGGUCUGCCACUCCUCGGGUGACUGUGCUUCCUCUCAGUCUGUAGCAUCAGUAGCUACAGACUGUAGCUUGCUGUGUUUAAGGGAGGUGUUCGUGUUGGAGAUGAGACAGGUGAAGACAAAAUGAGACAUCUUCCUCAAUGGGAGACAGAACACGGGGAACCUGGCAGCUUCAAGGAUGACGUCUGUCUCUCUCUUCUCUUCCAUCUCCCAAAGCAGCAGCAGUCUCCCACUGAACUCUCUCCCACUGGACAAUGAGGCAAGGAGGAAGAAAGGACUGGAAAGGAGAUGACUUUGCUGCUGCCCUCAGAUUCUGGAGCUUAAACGGAGCUAGGGUAGACCUAGUGCUGGCUGGGGGUUAGCACUGGGUUGCCCUGUAGUCCCAGGACGAAUGGAAAAUUUCUCUGUUCCCCUAGCUGUCUCCUCCUUCUGCUUUUAGUGGAACCCACAGAAAGAUAGCCCAGAAUUGAGACUUGCA
rnacentral:lncRNA from 1 species